AGCAGCCGCGGUAAUUCCAGCUCCAAUAGCGUAUAUUAACGUUGUUGCAGUUAAAAAGCUCGUAGUUGAAGUGUGGGUGAUCGCUGUUGUGAGACUUCGGUCUCUCGACAGUAAGUCACCCCCUUCCAGUAUCCAGUAGUGGGUAUUCACUUACUUACUAUUGAGUGUUGGUCCUUUACUGUGAGAAAAUUAGAGUGUUCAAAGCAGGCGUUUGCUUGAAUAGAUUAGCAUGGAAUAAUAAUUGAAGGCUUUCGUGUUCGAUUUGAUUGGUUUGUUCAUGGAAGCAAGGUUAAAAGGAACAGUUGGGGGUAUUCAUAUUCACUAGUUAGAGGUGAAAUUCUCGGAUUUAUGGAAGAUGAACAAGUGCGA
rnacentral:rRNA from 1 species